CAGUAUUAGGCUCCCAACUACAGCUUUCCCCGAUGGCUCAUCGUGUAAGGAAUUUGCCUGCAAUACGGGAGACACAGGAGAUGCGGGUUUGAUCCCAGGGUGGGGAAGAUCCCUUGGAGAAGGAAAUGGCAACCCACUCCAGUUUUCUUGCCUGGAGAAUCCCCCUGGACAGAAGAGCCUGGCAGGUUACAGUCCAUGGGGUCACAAAGAUUCGGACAUGACUGGGCACAAGGCACAUGCUGAGGCAUGCUAUAGGAUACACCUGUAGUCCUGGGUCAGGAGGGGAUUGUCUGCCAUCUGGUGGAAGAAGAAGCCCUGCCCCUGAUGGUAAAUGGGGCAAAGAACUGUAAUGUCAUCAACAAGGAUCUCAUUGAUGAUUUCCUCCAACCUCCUUGCUUCCUCCUUCUGCCCCUCACCCCUCCACUUACCUUUUCCCUCCUUUGCUCCAGGGCAAUCUCAUCCUUUGUGAGUGAAGUUUUUUUUUUUUUUUUUCCCUUCCCCCAGCCCCCUGGGAAUGCUGACUUCAGAGAUCUGGGCCUGAGGUUGUAUAAAUGCCCUGUGGAGUUGCAGUCCAGCACUCUUGGCCUCCCCACCUCUGCCAGCCUCCUGGGCUCUCUGCCCAGCACCACCAGCAUCAUGCUCCGGCAAGCCCUUCUCCUCUCCACCUGCUUCGCUCUGGUUAUGACUUACCCUGCACUGCUUCAGGAAUUCAUCGCUGACUUAGAGCCAGCCAUUGACAUAGAGUACACUGGCCUUGAGUCAGCCAGUGGCUUAGAGUUAAACACUGACCUGGAACUGACCACUGGCCUAGAGUCAACCACUGGCCCCACUUACCUGGAGUCAACCACUGUCCCCACUGACCUGGAAUCAACAACUGUCCUAGAGUCAACCACGGGUCUAGAGUCAACAACUGGCUUAGAGUCGACAACUGGCCUAGAGUCGACAGCUGGCCCCACUGACCUGGAGCUGACAGUUGGCCUAGAGUUAACCACUGGCCCCACUGACUUGGAGUUAACCACUGGCCCAGAGUCAGCCACUGGCCACACUAACCUGGAGUCAAUCACAGACCUUGAGUCAACCUCUGGUCUAGAGUUGACUACUGGCCCCACUGACCUGGCGUCGACCACUGGCCUAGAGUCAGCCACUGGCUGCACUAACCUGGAGUCAAUCACAGACCUAGAGUCAACCUCUGGCCUAGAGUUGACUGCUGGCCCCAAUGACCUGGAGUCGACCACUGGCCUACAGUCAACCACUGGCCUGCAGUCAACUGUUAGCCCCACUGACCUGGAGUCGACCACUCACCUACAGUCAACCAUUGGCUUAGAGUCUACCGCUGGCCUAUCAGAAUUGACUACUCACCAUGACUUCACUGAAGAUGCAGAAACAACCACUGAAUUGUAUUUGGAGAACACACAGACUUUUGAAGGUGUCACUGCUGGUUGGUUAUUCUGAAGAGCCUGUGACAGAAGCAUGAGGCAAGUUCAAAGACCUCUCUUUUUUGCUCUUCUUGGCCUUUGAGGGAUUUUUUUUCUUGGGAGGCACUCCAGGACAGACUCAAGAAGUGGGACUGGGCUAGGUACUCUUACCAUGUCUAUACCCUUCUCAGCCAGGCACCAUGUUCACUAGCUGAAUCCACUUUUGGGGGAGAAGAGAGAAUAUGUUUCUUCACAUGAAGGUAUGACCCAUCAUGUGUGACUCUCAGGGACUUCUAAGUGUCAGUGGAGACCAGCCCUUUAACCAAAUCUUUCUCGUGAAGUGCUGUUGUGCUUCAUUUCCACUGGUAGGACUUCAGGCAUGGCAGAGUGACUCGGCAGUUAAGAGGAGGGAGGUUUUGCUGCCAUUCCUAGGAGGCUACUUGAGGCUGUGAGAUGAAUGACAGUUACACUCUGAAUGAUAUUUACUGAAAGUGAAUAAAAGCCAUUUCUUCAUUACAGAUGACCCAGUAUCUCCACAGGAAAGAACAAGUCCAAUGCAGUUUUUUUUGGUAAGUUUCUUCUCUCUUGUCUCCGAUACCUUAUUAGGAAUUUCAUACCAUUUUCAAUGCUGGUAUUAAUCCACUUGGAAAGGAUUCCAAUUUAAAACUUUCAAGAUGCUAAGAUCAGCUAUAAUUUUAAUAUGGAGAUGAAAGUCAGCUUCUUUCCUCUCUGAGGUUUACCUUCCAAGUCUAGCUGUCUGGAUUUUCAGUCAUCGAAUAGGCAUAGGAUAAACAAGUUCUCUCCUCUGAGUUUUCCAAGAUUUCCUGUCUCUCUAAUAUGAGGAUUCUAGUCCAGUCCCUGGAAUGUUUUUAACGGACAGCCUGAGGAAAAGGCAUCAGAUUUUCUGAUUUAUAAAUAUAUAUAAUUCAAUUAAAAGUCAUACAACCCAGAAGCUCUCAAUUAAGAGGUCCCCGUUUUAAUACUCUGCCUCACUUCUGGCUUUUUGGGAAAUUUCUAAAGUGAUUUCUUCAUGUAGUAAAAUGUAAACCUGGACGGUGUACAGGUAUAUUGCUUAAGGCUCAGAGAAGAGGAGGGAGAAUAAGGAAUUUGCACCUUUAAGAAAUUAAGUCAUAUGCUCAUGGUCACAGUGGGAAAUUGGAAAGAUGAGCCUGAUCUUUUGAACACUAGAUUCUUGUCUCUUGGGAACUCAUGUUUUUUUUUUUUUUUUUUUUUCGUUUUGUUUUUCAGUUUAGAAAAUGAAGCAGAUUCUCAUACCUGUGACUGUUGCUCUAUUAACCACAAUUUUCCAAGAAGGUUCUGAGCCUUUGAACAAGACUUCCAUUCCAUCAUAGGAGCUUGGAUAAUUCUAAAAGACUAGUGAGACACGGAAUGUACCCACUUGAGGAUAAACAGAGUGGCAGAGAUUGACAAUACACAAACAGAAGAAAGGCAUCUCUCAAACAUGUCGCAUUUAAAACAGGCUCAAUAAAUAUUUAUUUGCACUGACUGAAUUUUGAGGAGGGAGGUUAUUUUACAAGGCAACAUAUUGCUUAGUUGCCUUGUUUUAAUGCCAGUAACCAUUUUAUUCCUCUCUGAUACACACUUUAUGUUGUUUAGUUGCUGAGUCCUGUCCAACUCUUUGCAACCCCAUGAACUGCAGCAUGCCAGAAUUUUCUGUCCUUCACUAUCUCCCAGUUUGCUCAAACUCAUGUCCAUUGAGUUGAUGAUGUCAUCCAACCAUCUCAUUCCCUGUUGUCCCCUUCUCUGCCUAUCCUCAAUCUUUCCCAGCAUUAGGGUCUUUUCCAAUGAGUCAGCUCUUCACAUCAGGUGGCCAAAGUAUUGGAGCUUCAACUUCAGCAUCAGUCCUUCCAGUGAAUAUUCAGGGCUGAUUUCCUUUAGGAUUGACUGGUUUGAUCUUUUUGCCAUCCAAGGGACUCUGCAAUCAGACACUAACUCUUUCCAGCCACAGCAAAGUAUGAAAUCAGCCUAUGGAAAAUAUAUUGGUGUUUCCAUUCCUAGUAUAACAAAUUACCACAAACAUAGUAGAUUAAAAUAAUAUAUAAACCUCUUAUCUUAUAGUUUUGUAACUCACAAUUCUGAAAGGUAUCUCACUGAGUUUAAGACAAUGUGUUGGCAGGGCUGAGUUCCUUUCUGGAGACUUGUUGGAAGAAUCAAUUUCCUUUCCCACUUUCCAUAGCCCUCUUAUGUCUUUGAAGCCAGCAAAAGUUGACUGAUUCUCACAAUAUAUCACAGAGUCACCAACACCUACCAUGCUGCCCCUUGCUUCCACAUCUGAGCCCCCACCUUGAUAAUCUAGGAAAAUCUCUUAUUUCAAGGUCAAUUGAUUAAUGACCUUUAUUCCUCCCUUUACUGUGUAAUUUAACAUAUUCAUUGGGCAAGAAUGACACAAAAGUUUGUAAAAUGUUCCAUAAAAAGUAUUGUAUAGAAUUAAAGUGUAUGGUACAAUGAUUUGAUAUACCCAUGCAUAGUGAAAGGAUUACCAUAAUGAAGUUGAUUAACAUAUCUGUCACUUUUUUUUUUAAAGGAUGAAAAUUUCUAAGAUGAUAGUAUAUAAUGAGAAAAGAAUCUAAAACAAAACUAGAGGAAUUCCAUAAUUUCAUGGCUAAAUGUAAACAGAUGCAUCUGCAAAGGACAUGCAAGGCUUUAAUUCCUAGACAGUGGGAAUCAGGAUUUUGUAUUCAUCCUUACAUCCUAAACUCCUAGUAGAAUAGCUGGUGUAUAGGAGGGAC
rnacentral:lncRNA from 1 species